rnacentral:rRNA from 1 species
UGGGGAAUUUUGGACAAUGGGCGAAAGCCUGAUCCAGCAAUGCCGCGUGUGUGAAGAAGGCCUUCGGGUUGUAAAGCACUUUUGUCCGGAAAGAAAUCCUUGGCUCUAAUACAGUCGGGGGAUGACGGUACCGGAAGAAUAAGCACCGGCUAACUACGUGCCAGCAGCCGCGGUAAUACGUAGGGUGCAAGCGUUAAUCGGAAUUACUGGGCGUAAAGCGUGCGCAGGCGGUUUGCUAAGACCGAUGUGAAAUCCCCGGGCUCAACCUGGGAACUGCAUUGGUGACUGGCAGGCUAGAGUAUGGCAGAGGGGGGUAGAAUUCCACGUGUAGCAGUGAAAUGCGUAGAGAUGUGGAGGAAUACCGAUGGCGAAGGCAGCCCCCUGGGCCAAUACUGACGCUCAUGCACGAAAGCGUGGGGGAGCAAACAGGAUUAGAUACCCUGGUAGUCCACGCCCUAAACGAUGUCAACUAGUUGUUGGGGAUUCAUUUCCUUAGUAACGUAGCUAACGCGUGAAGUUGACCGCCUGGGGAGUGC